UUGAGGUCUUGUAAGGGAAACUGAAGGAACUGUGUGUUGAACAGGAUGGCUUGGACCUGCUCAGCUUCUGAGAACUGAGGCAAUGUGGGCGACCCAGAUGUAUCACUUGAUUUUCUGACUACUGGGAGAAUUUCCCUUCAUCGCUGCACUUCAGGGAUAUCCCUCAGAGAGAAGGGAUCAAAAAAAGGGUGAUCCCCCCAUAUAUGUGCAAGUGACUAAUUGGGUCAAGAAGGAAACCAGGCCCCCCUCAUGGUGUUGAGGGAAGACAGCACCAGCUAGUCUUGUAGCCUGAGACAGCUGUCUUCUUACCAGCUUUCUCCUCACCAACUCUUCAAAAAUCCAGUUGAUAAAAAAUGCACAUGCUAAAAUGUUAUUCCUCAGUCCUGACCAAGCUGACGUGGUCUUCUCCAAGUCCCCAGUCCUGACCAAGCUGAAUCUCCUUUGUCACUCAUGGGGAAACAGGGACUUACCUACUAGUGCAGGAGAAAGGAGAGAUCCUUUAGAACAGAAGCUAAGAUGGCAGGAGCCCACACAAAAUACUUGAAGAAAGUAGCUUAGCAGGAAACCAAACUGGGAGCUGAUGCCCGGUUUAGGAAGGGUUCAAAUCAAGGAGUCAGAAGCAGCCAAUUCUACAUCAGAUCCACAAAUUCUUAACUUGAAAAUAAAAACAAGUCAAAUCAAGUUAGGCUCAAAAGGAAUACAGGGGCAGAAGAGGUAAUGUGCAGAUGGGUGUGCCUGGCCAAAUGGGGAGGGUAGGUACAGGCAGCGCACACCAGUGCUUUCUUUGCUUCCUUUUUUGAAGAUUUUAUUUUUAAGAGCAGUCUCAGGUUCAAAGCAAAGACAGAAGAAAAGUACAAAGAUUUUUCUGUAUACCCCUGUCCCUACAAAUGCGUAGCCCCUCCAUUAUCAAAAUCCCCUAUGAGAGUGUAAUAAAUGACAAUUAAUGAGCCUAUAUUGAGUAUAUCAUAAUCACUCAAAGUCCCGGUGUACACUAGGUUUCACUCUUGGUGUUGUACAUUCUAUGAGUUUGGACAAAUGCAUAAUGACAUGAGUCCAUUGUUAUGAUAUCAUCCAGAUCGCUUUCACUGCUGCGAAAAUCUGUGCUCUAUCAUCGAGGAUCAGAAACUAAUACCCCAAAAUAUGGCAUUUUGACACGCUGAACUGAAGAAGCGUCAAUGUCUCUCUGACCUUUCCACUACCACUUCUGCCCCACUUUCUUUCCCCAAACCUAGGAUUAUCUUGUUUCCUUAUCCGCUUAAAGUCUGAACCUGCUGAAGAAGAAAACAAUGACCUCUGGCCCCUUCCCAGAGUUUUCAUUAACUGAACCUGUAUUCCAGGAAGAAAGAUUGAAGUCUGUUAACACACCUGAACAGACUUUUGGCACAAACAAUUCUCCACUCUGCAAGCCCAACAGACUUUGUCCCAGACAACUGGAUGCUCUUCCAGCCCACUGACUGCUCCCUAGGAAUCAUGCACUGUACCUCAACAGAUUUCCUCUUGUCCCUACUCACAUAGUUGGUUUCAUCAGGAUCCUAAGAUUUCCUGGAAAACCUUAGGACCAGGAUGUAUUCCUGUGGACUCAUUCUUCUUUUCUGUAAUCUCAAGAAGGUGUAUAAGCUUCUGCACUCCAGUGGGUGGUUGAAGUAAUCACCAUGUCUCCCCUGUGAAUGUAAAUACAUCUGUAUGCUUUUUUUCCAAUUAAUCUGCCUUUUGUGAGUUGAUUUUUUAGUGAAGCUUCAGAAGGCUCCUUGGCCUUUAUGCUGUUCAUCCCUCCCACUCCCUUCAGCCCCUAAUAACCACUGAUCUUUUUAUUGUCUCCAUAGUUUUAUAUUUUGCAGAAGGUCAUGCAGUUGAAAUUUUACAGUCCGUUACCUUUUCAGAUUGGCUUCUGUCACUUAGUAAUAUGUAUUUAAGAUUCUUCCAUGUCUUUUCACGGCUUGAUAGUUCAUUUCUUUUCAACAUUGAAUUUUCCAUUGUUUGAUGUACGAUUUAUUUAUCCCUUACCUACUGAAGGAACACGUGGUUGCUUCCAAGAUUUACCUGGCCACCUGUGGUAGACACCAGCCACAAGAAUAUUUCCUGUUCCUAAGGUUGUCCAGAAAUUUGGCACUUCUCCAUUAAGACAUGGAUUUUACUUCCUCUUCCCUUAAAUCUGGGCAGAUGUGUGACUUGCUGGUAACCACACGGAGUGAUUUCUGAGACUAAGUUAUAAAUGAUGAAGCUCACCUCAUUCACAUAGGCAUUGGACGCUGAGCCACCAAGUAAGUGUCCAGUGGCCCCGAAACUGCCAUGUGGUGAGGAAGCCCAAACUUGAUUUGAUUUCACCUCUUCUGCCCCUAUUCCUUUUGUGCCAACUUGAUUUGACUUGUUUUUAUUUUUCUAGUUAAGUGAAAAGAUGGCAAGGGAAGCAAUGAAGCUUUAUCCUGAGAGAGAGAUGCCCGGCCACCAUGCAGCUGCUCCCCUAAUCUCACCCUCAGCCUCCUUUCCUCCACCCCCCAACCCUUGUACUUUUAUUACUCCAACCACUGUCUGGCUACAAUCAGAGGAGAGAUUCCAAGACAGUAGCACCCAGCUAAAUCCUUCCUGAAUUCCCAGCUCACAAAAGUUAUAAAAGACAAUAACAUGACUGUUCUUU